UACGUAGGGUGCAAGCGUUGUCCGGAAUUAUUGGGCGUAAAGAGCUCGUAGGCGGUUUGUCGCGUCUGCUGUGAAAAACCCGAGGCUCAACCUCGGGCCUGCAGUGGGUACGGGCAGACUAGAGUGCGGUAGGGGGAGAUUGGAAUUCCUGGUGUAGCGGUGGAAUGCGCAGAUAUCAGGAGGAACACCGAUGGCGAAGGCAGUUCUCUGGGCCUACA
rnacentral:rRNA from 1 species